UGGGCACCAGAACCAGAACCACCACCACUACCACAACAAUCAUCACAUAUUAUUAUACAACGCCGCGGGGAAAACAAUGGCCGACUGGUAACAAAGACAAAACCAAACCCUGUGCACAAGCAAAGUACCAAUUAUUUAGUAAAAAAAAAGAGUAGAAACAAGGACGAAAAGUGUAGGAUUGGAUUGGAAUCGACGGGAGGAGGCGACCUUAACUACCAAUCCAAUCCAAUCCAGACUCGCAACAAUGUCACACACAGUUAAAAAUCCUAUCAAUCCCAUUAACUUGGCAGGAGGAGUGCUCCUUCAGAUGAGACAUCUCUAAUUUUAAUGACUCCAAUAAAACCAGUUUCCAUCCAUUUUAGUCAUUGUCAUUACACAUUCGAAAUCUGAAGAGAUAAAAGGACGACAAGAAGAAAACAAGAAGAAGCACUUUUGAAAAUGCGUAACGAAAUUCACAUCAAAUCCAGUCAUAGAAUUUUAUUUUAUGCGUUUCAUUUCAUUCCGGCUGGAAAUGAGAGUCUCAAAAACUGUGUCAAGAGAGGAAAAGGUCUCAAUUUAGUGUCCAAAACUGUCCAGUCCCGUUAGUUUCCCGGCGUAUUUAAGUAAUGAAGACCUUUUUUUCUUGUUCUCUUAUUCCCAUAAAAAUCCAGUUCAGGUAAAAAAAAUCCACGACUCGAUGAAAACCUGAGUAGUGGUGGCACGAAUUUCACACAGGGCUUGGUAACAUUGUAAAAUCCGUAAAUUUCUUAAAGUUACGAACUUGUACAAUAUUUCACCAAUAUUUCGAAGGAAAAUUAGCUCCCAAAUUUUUGUAAACUUGCUCAGAUCAAAGGGCGUCUUUGCAUUUUUUAAUACUUUACAAAACUUACGGAUUUUACAAAGUUCCUUAUGGCUGCGUGAACUGCCUCUUUGUGAGACUAUCGUUACAGUUUAGGAUGGAGUUUUGCAAAUUUGUUCAUAAUAUUACAGGACUUUACGUAAUGCGUAAAUGAUCUGCGAUCUAAAAUUAUUUCAUAUAUGAAUUUAUCAAGUUUUGCAUUAAUUGACGCUCAGAUCUAACAAAUUUUAAAAAAUGCAGGUUAAUUUCGCUUUGUAAUCUUUGUAAAAAUUGCGUGAUUUAGCUCAUUAGGAGAGACUGAAGUUACAAAACUAUGGGAAAACUGGGCAGAUAUUUUAGAAAACAUCAUCUUUGUCGGAAAUUUACUAUUCUCUCGUCUUAAAAAUAGGUACUUGGAAGGGGAACAAAAGGGUAACAAUGGCGGGGUCAUGAUGUCCUUCGAUCAUCCGUGAUCAUCAUCGGUAUACACGACAAUAAUGCGGCCAUAAAAAUACUUCGACCUCCAAAGAGUCCAGUACUGGUCCAUCGGCCAACCUGGGAAGAAAUUCGUCCCACGAUUUUAAUUCUCUAAAAAAUUAUCAAAAUUCUGGUUGGACUAAUUUUGUGCGACUUGUGUUUAAGAAAGUUCUGAAUAAAAAUCUCUCGACAUUUGAGACGUACAAUUUCCUAAAAA